UACGUAGGGGGCAAGCGUUGUCCGGAAUUAUUGGGCGUAAAGCGCGCGCAGGCGGCUGUUUAAGUCUGGUGUAUAAACCUGGGGCUCAACCUCGGGACGCAUUGGAAACUGGACGGCUUGAGUGCAGAAGAGGAGAGUGGAAUUCCACGUGUAGCGGUGAAAUGCGUAGAUAUGUGGAGGAACACCAGUGGCGAAGGCGACUCUCUGGGCCGAUACUGACGCUGAGGAGCGAAAGCGUGGGGAGCGAACAGG
rnacentral:rRNA from 1 species